CGUAAGGUUUGCUGGAGGUAUCAGAAGUGCGAAUGCUGACAUGAGUAACGACAAAGGGGGGUGAAAAACCUCCUCGCCGGAAGACCAAGGGUUCCUGUCCAACGUUAAUCGGGGCAGGGUGAGUCGACCCCUAAGGUGAGGCCGAAAGGCGUAAUCGAUGGGAAACGGGUUAAUAUUCCCGUACUUCUGACUAUUGCGAUGGGGGGACGGAGAAGGCUAGGUGGGCCAGGCGACGGUUGUCCUGGUUCAAGUGCGUAGGCUUGAGAGUUAGGUAAAUCCGGCUCUCUCUAAGGCUGAGACACGACGUCGAGCUACUACGGUAGUGAAGUCAUUGAUGCCAUGCUUCCAGGAAAAGCCUCUAAGCUUCAGAUAGUCAGGAAUCGUACCCCAAACCGACACAGGUGGUCGGGUAGAGAAUACCAAGGCGCUUGAGAGAACUCGGGUGAAGGAACUAGGCAAAAUGGUACCGUAACUUCGGGAGAAGGUACGCUCUUGAUGGUGAAGUCCCUCGCGGAUGGAGCUGACGAGAGUCGCAGAUACCAGGUGGCUGCAACUGUUUAUUAAAAACACAGCACUGUGCAAAAUCGCAAGAUGACGUAUACGGUGUGACGCCUGCCCGGUGCCGGAAGGUUAAUUGAUGGGGUUAGCGCAAGCGAAGCUCUUGAUCGAAGCCCCGGUAAACGGCGGCCGUAACUAUAACGGUCCUAAGGUAGCGAAAUUCCUUGUCGGGUAAGUUCCGACCUGCACGAAUGGCGUAAUGAUGGCCACGCUGUCUCCACCCGAGACUCAGUGAAAUUGAAAUCGCUGUGAAGAUGCAGUGUACCCGCGGCUAGACGGAAAGACCCCGUGAACCUUUACUACAGCUUGGCACUGAACAUUGAACCUACAUGUGUAGGAUAGGUGGGAGGCUAUGAAGACGUGACGCCAGUUGCGUUGGAGCCGUCCUUGAAAUACCACCCUUGUAUGUUUGAUGUUCUAACUUAGACCCGUUAUCCGGGUUGAGGACAGUGCCUGGUGGGUAGUUUGACUGGGGCGGUCUCCUCCCAAAGAGUAACGGAGGAGCACGAAGGUGGGCUAAUCACGGUUGGACAUCGUGAGGUUAGUGCAAUGGCAUAAGCCCGCUUAACUGCGAGAAUGACGGUUCGAGCAGGUGCGAAAGCAGGUCAUAGUGAUCCGGUGGUUCUGUAUGGAAGGGCCAUCGCUCAACGGAUAAAAGGUACUCCGGGGAUAACAGGCUGAUACCGCCCAAGAGUUCAUAUCGACGGCGGUGUUUGGCACCUCGAUGUCGGCUCAUCACAUCCUGGGGCUGAAGUCGGUCCCAAGGGUAUGGCUGUUCGCCAUUUAAAGUGGUACGCGAGCUGGGUUUAGAACGUCGUGAGACAGUUCGGUCCCUAUCUGCCGUGGGCGUUGGAAGAUUGAAGGGGGCUGCUCCUAGUACGAGAGGACCGGAGUGGACGAACCUCUGGUGUUCGGGUUGUGUCGCCAGACGCAUUGCCCGGUAGCUAAGUUCGGAAUUGAUAAGCGCUGAAAGCAUCUAAGCGCGAAGCGAGCCCUGAGAUGAGUCUUCCCUGACAGUUUAACUGUCCUAAAGGGUUGUUCGAGACUAGAACGUUGAUAGGCAGGGUGUGUAAGCGUUGUGAGGCGUUGAGCUAACCUGUACUAAUUGCCCGUGAGGCUUAACCAU
rnacentral:rRNA from 1 species